AUCAAAUCAAAUGAUUCUUCUUAUCUUUUUUUUUUUGUACUAUUACACGUGCAAAUAAUACCAAACCCUAAAAAUUACAAAUAAUUCACUAAAUUACAAAAUAUUCACCUAACUCAUUGCCUAAUUAACAAUUUUUUUAAUAUCCUUGAAUUAUUGCCACCUAAUAAAAUUAUUGAAAUUCCACCUCAUCAAUGCACAACAACCCGAUUGGUCCGUUUCCCCGUUGACCGGAUCAACUUUGACCAAAACCCUUCUUUCUUCUUUUUUCCAUUAAUUCCAACUCUACCCCCUCUAGCAACAAAAGCUAUUGACCUACUCUUCUUCAACCCCCCUCCUCCUCCUCCAGCGUUGGCGGCCGCUAGCGCUACGAACGAAUAGUGGCCGCCAGCAACAUCGGACGUGAUUCGACGAUGUCCAAUUGCAGCUCGUGGAGAGUUGCAGUUGGACGAGGAAACGGAGGAGGAUAUAGAAGAAGGAAUAGAUGAAAUUUUAGCUAUUGUAGUUGUACCAUUGAUCUUUGAUAACUUUUCUCUUAAACAACAUGAACAUACUCCGGGUUGUUGUUUGUGUUGUGGAUGCUUCUUGCAUAUAACUAUUGGCUCCGAAAAUGCCAUUUGAUGAUACGAUGAUAUAACGAUGAUGAUCGAUAAGAGAAAUGAACUUUAAUUUCUCUAUAUAUAUAUAACUUUUUUGUUUUGG
rnacentral:misc_RNA from 1 species